GGGAUCAUAUAAGCACUAAUGCAUCGGAUCCCAUCAGAACUCCACAGUUAAGCGUGCUUGGACAAGAGUAGAACUAGGAUGAGUAUCACCUGGGAAGUCCUCGUGGUGCAUUCC